GCGGGCGUGGCGGAACUGGAAUACGCGUACGGUUCAGAACCGUAUACCGAAAGGUUUGUGGGUUCGACUCCCACCGUCCGCA
rnacentral:tRNA from 1 species